GUUGUAUGGUUAAGUGACUAAGCGUACACGGUGGAUGCCUUGGCAGUCAGAGGCGAUGAAGGACGUAUUAACUUGCGAUAAGCCCAGAUUAGGCAGUAAAAGCCACUUGAGUCUGGGAUUUCCGAAUGGGGAAACCCACUUACAUAAGUAAGUAUCAUUAACUGAAUACAUAGGUUAAUGAGGCGAACCGGGGGAACUGAAACAUCUAAGUACCCCGAGGAAAAGAAAUCAACCGAGAUUCCGAAAGUAG
rnacentral:rRNA from 1 species